rnacentral:lncRNA from 1 species
GGGAUAUAGUUUGCUAGCUUAUGCAGGAUGCUGGCCUGGAGAUCCACUCCUUGGUGACAAGGUGGGAGGCUUUGAUCGCGAGGCAUGCAGUCAGAUUCUUGAUUCAGCUUGACCGUUUGUGGAGUAGAGCAAUAUUAAGGGCCCGCUAUGGUGGCUAGAGCCUCGGGACCCCCAUCCAUGCUCUCCAGGGUUGCUCUUUCAUAUGGAGGGAGAUUUGCACCCGUAGAUCC